rnacentral:rRNA from 1 species
AUGUGGGGAAAGGAAUGGUUGAUGGGCUUACGCUGGGGGCUGCACCAGGGGCUGCUGUCUGGACAGCUUUCCACCACCAGCGACGCGCCUGGAGUGCCCGCCGGGGGCCGGCUACCCAUCGAAGCUUUGGCCCUCUUUGCCACCCACUGGGUCAAUGUCUCCACGUCCCUGCCAAGACAACGACAAGUCAAGUUAAGAGACACGGUUAGAAAGGACAAGAGUGAAGGGGGGCAGGAUGCUUACUCGUCCUCUGUCUCCUCGUCUGUUGCCUUCCUUUUCCACCUCGGGCUAAGGGAUGAGAAGUCGAAGGCGACCCCCGCGUCGAUGUUUGCAGGGGGAAGAGAAGGCGAUGGAGUCCGGUAG